AAAAGCCAUAUAUAAUAUAUAUAUUAUAUAUAUAUAUAUAGAGAGAGAGAGAGAGAGAGAGAGAGAAUCUGCUUUGCUUUGCACUGUUCAUGGCCCCUGCUUGGAGAUAUUAUUUAUUACUUAACCAGAGGCAUUUAGCAAAUGCAGAGCCCCAGGUGAGACAUUGGGAGCGAUCUCAGAUGUAGAAAAGCAUCCAUGGAAGGCACGUGCCCACCCAGAGCUGGUUGACUUAGCAUUGGCCACGAUGGGAUCUUUAACAGAAGCUCAUACCCCAUUGUAGCCUUGCUGGGAAAACGCUGCCAGUGUUUCCCCUUGUCCACAGAGGAGCCACGGCACAGGGUUGGGAGGGUGGAGAUUGUGCCGUGGCUAGUUGAAGUUCUUCGUCAUGUUUAGGUCUGAAGCAGACACCUCCAAACAAGUGGACAUCUCUACCUCUCCCCAGGCCAUUGUGUGGAACCCAAAACAAGCAGGAAAGGCCAGAGUGCCAGAGGAGGUUGCUCCAGGGCCUUGAACCAAGGCCACUAUUUUGCUUAACACCAGAGACCUAUAUACUACCAGAGCAGACCCUAGGUAGGACCCGGGAAAUAACAGGAUUAGUUUGUUUCCAAGGAGGCUAUUCAGGACAUCUUCCCAUGCUCAAAUAGCUUAUUUUGGCAACAUUUUUUUUUUGUAUACACAUAAACAAAAGAGGAGGCUCUGAAGAGGAAAACAAAUAUUUGUCUACUUUCCUCCCUGUUAGAUUUAGUAUAAGGGACAGGCAAGCUGGCCCUGGUGAAACGGACUGCUGUACUGGGCUGCCUGAGGGCAUGGACCUCUGUUUUUCUGCUGUUAAAUUAGGGCCAAGCCCAGGGUGGCCGCUCCAGAGCCUCAUCAUGCCUCACACUGCCCUGGGCAAGUGGUUUCUAGGGUACUGGCAGAGGUUGGCUGGACUAAGCACCAGGCAUGAGUGUCAGUGAGGCCCACCAGUAUCUUCUUCCAUGGCAGUGUGCUUCAGGCUCUGUAGCAGUGUGGCCUGCCCCUCUGGCUGGUGACCCCGUAUAAACCUGUCUGUUUCUGUCGAGUCUCCAGCAGGGCACAUAGCUUUCCUCAGCACAGACAAGGUCCUGCAGGAAGAUAGGGGGAGAGGGGUGUGGAGGACUUUGCCCACCCAGAUGGGCACCCUGCUGGGUGAGUGCUCCCCCAUCUGUCCAGGAGAACUUCUUAGGGGCCUUGAAAGAGGAAUAUUGCGUAGGGAAGGGACAGGCCUUCCGGGCCAGGGAAGAAACAUCUUAAAACGGCCAUGCCUCAUUUGUACUGCUGCGGUUGGAUUUUCGGGGUACAUUUGCAUGAGUGAAGGAAUAACACUGAUGCAGUACUCAGGAGGCUGGAGUGCCCAAGCUCACACUAGGGAGUAAAGUUGGAGCAUUCCAGGUUCUAAUUUGUCCCUGUCUCCGGUUCACCAUGUGACCCUGGCAAGUUCUGUUGCCUCCCCUAAACCUGUACCCCGAACAUUCCAAAGAGGAAUAAAGGUGCCAGUCUCAGAGGACGCAGACAACAUUAUUUUCAUUAAGGCACAGUUUCAGUCACAUUGCCUGGGAACAUCCAAUGACUGUGCUACGGCCAUCAUUGUAGAUCAGAUCACUAUAACUAUUUAUAUAUUUAUCAUUUAAUACCUCGUGCAUCGUAUUACAUGUUAUAUAUUAUUAUGUUAUAUUCCAGGUAACAGAUCCUACUUCUGGUUUAUCCAGAAAGUAAACCAUAGACGUUGACUCCCUAACCCCUUAGAGUUGGCUGGCGGGAAUUCACAAAGCCAGAACUCCCACAUCCCAGAGGUUUGGUGUGAAUGUGACUAUCGUAUGCAUUAAGUACAGGAGAUGAGACAGAGGUUCCUUUGGGGACUAGGAAUAUGCUAUGAUGAGACCUUCCUGGAAAAUGACACGGGGGUUGGUCUAGAUCUGAACUUCGGACCCUGAUGGUGGUCCAGAAUGGCUAUGGGAACUUCCACUCAUUCUUGUCGUAGAUGCAGGGAGGAAUCUGAUGAGAGAGUUUUACCACCCUGAUGAGUGAAGUGCUCCUUGGCCUGUCACUUUUACCAAAUAGCUUGCUUUGGAGACAUUUUCUCCCAGCCUAUGUUUGCAGAAAGACGUAGUUUCUCAAGGCACAUUGUCAGAACACACAAAACCUGAAGGAAAUUAGCCAUACUUUCUGAUGUUAUGGAGCCGAUGAGCAAGAAAAAGCAAUUGUCUUCAAAUAAAGACAAAGAAUCUUUUAUAUGGGGUAUUUAUUUUGAGGACUGACUAGUGUUCCUUUGGCUGGGACAGUUGUUUGAGUGUUGUGGGCCCUGGCCUCACAGUAAGGGCAGAAGUUUACAGGGGGAAAAGCGAAAGUCCCCUGAGCCACGGUUCUUGGGAAAAUUUCAACGGGCAAGCCGACUUUCGUUGUGGAGUGCAGUUAAACUUUCACUGAUUGAUUUUCUCCUUCUGUGAUUUCUUUUCAAAGGCCACUGGGGUGUGUCUGCAGUCCUUGGAAAGGUGGCCAGGUUGUGGACUGUGAGCCACAUGAGGUUUCCCUUAGGCCAAGCAUGGCCAGCACAACCUAGCUGGGUUUCAGGAUGUAAGUGAACAGAAUGGACUGGACGAGACAAUCAUUUUCCAGGGGGUUCAUCAGAUCAUGGGGGCCCAUAUUUGUGGUUUUCCAAUGUCUCCUCCUCCUCCUCCUCCUCUCCUUCCUCUUCCUCCUCCUCCUCACAUCCUGUUCUCAGAUGAACUUGGGAGUGGCCUGUAGGUUGUGGGAGUCUGACUGGAGUGGAGGAGCCCAUACUGGCCCUCCCUUAUACUCCCAACUAUCAAAAUUAUUUUGGAACUCGUGAUAAACUAACCCAGUAUGUGGAACCAUGAAGGCUGUCUUCUGAAUUAAUUGAAUGCACUGGACUUAGCCCUGAGGCCUCUAUAGUAAAGAGAGUCUGCCCAGGCUGCCCUCCAAAGACUGAUCCGGCCCCAGCUGUGCCUGGUGGCGGGCGACCUUAAAAGCCAGGGCAGAAGCUGAGGUUCAGAGUGGCUUUGCUACGGCUAGGGUUUCUAUAGGGAUUGCUAGAGAGGCCAACAUCGUGCAGUUCUGGGAAUUUCCAAGGGGGAUCCUUAGUCAGUGGACACCUGCUACUUCAGGUGACUCUUAGUCAGAGCACUCCUGUCGGGCCAGUGGAGGAAGACAGACAAGAGACACGUCCUGAGGAGGGAACAGCCGCUACUCAUCACUCGAAGUAAUUUUUGGUCAAUAAUAAUAUUUGUCUUCUGAGUAAGCUUUUUUUUAAAAAAAAUCGAUUUUGUAUCUUUUGUCAUUUUGAAUGCUGGAAGUUCUUAGCACCUCACUUUCUAUAUUAACCCGCACCUCCAAAAUGUCAAGCAGAGAGACUCGGGGGUGUCCAGACAUCCUCUCAGGCUGAGUGUAGCUAUGAAAAGGCUGACAUAAUGGGAAAGAAUGAAAUCUGUGCUCUGGGCAGGAAAACAAAACAGCAACAACAACCAAACAACCAAACCCCCAAUCAUGGACUAUAGUCACUUGCUGGAGGAAGCAGGAGUAAAGUACAGCACAGUCUUGCCAUCAGAUUUUGUCAUUUCCUAGUUGGAGUCUAGAAUCUGAAGUCUCUUUUUUUUCUUGAGAUAUAGAUGUGUGCACAGGCGUCUGGAAUUCAGGGUUCAGACAAUGGUAGAGAGGAGUUGCGAGCAGCGUGGCCACGAGGCUUCGAUAAGGUUAACGGUUAGGACUUGUCAUGUGAGGUGGGCAGAAUAAAAAGGCCAGUGAUACAUUUUUUGAGGCUGCAUAUGUUUUCCCUUUAGAUUACAGAGAAACACUACCCCAGACGCUCUCGCUUUCUGAUACUGAGCCGGGUUUUUCUGUGAACUGCUCUUCCUAUUGGGAUCUCUGGCCUCAGGGGCAUUCAGUAGAAAUAUCUUCAAUUUAGAAUCUCCUUCUGUGUAUUUAAAAAAUAUAUAUAUUUACAUCUGAGUCAGCCUUUUGUAAUUGCAUCUUAAGUGACUGCAAACCAUAGCAGCGCCGCAGCUUCCUCCCCCAUCCCCUUGGGCAGUGAGAAAAUCGGUGGCCAAUCUGUCCCUAGGUUGUACAACACCUGGACCUGACAAGGCUGGUUCUGAGCUGGCCAGACUCAAGAGCAUAUCAUAGUCCACUUGUGUCAACUGCUAGGCCUUCCCACUUAGAGGAAAGCCUGUUGGUGGGGAUUCUAGCCAGGCCCGUGGUGUGCCGCUGCAUCCAAUAAGGACCCACUACCCUCCAUGGGACUGCAAGUGUCCCAGGGCUUUGGUGGCCUGCCGUAGCUGUAGCGAGGCUCCUGGAGGGCAAGCGGAGCGGAGCAGUAGUCACUUCUGACUGUGGUAACACUGCGUAUGGAUGUGUGUGUGGGACACCUUCUCUUAUGGCCCUGCGAUCCAGGUUCUGCCUCUUCUCCCUUGUCUCAGCAGGACCCCCAAAGAGCCACUGAGGUUUGCAGUGGCUUCUCUGUAUUGUAGACUGGCAUAACAGGUCCCAUUUCACAAAGCAUAGGGACCCUUCUCCUCCCAGGGCCAGGCUCUUGGCAGCCAUGCCAAGCCAUUGCUGGCAUAGAUUCCCAGCGUUCUUGGUCGAGCGCAUGGCAUCGGAAUGCUACCUGCUUUGUCUCUGGCGUCAGCUGGCAAGCAGUCACGUGGCCGUAUGCGUGAGGCCACAGCUAGAGACCAGAGACUCCUCCCGGCUGUCUCCUCCUUGCUCACUCUGCCCACCCUCUUCUCGGCCUUCAGCAUGACUGUCUGAGCAGGCAGAAAGCAGUAUGAAACAAGCAGGCUACCCAGGGCAGAUCAUGGUUUGCCUGCCCACCCUCCCUUUACCUGAAUUGUUACAUACAGAGAGGCCCUUAGUGUGUCCCACACGAUGAGAAGAAGUUAGACUCUUGCAUAGUGGUUCCUCCACACCAUCCUCUGUGGCAGAACUGGCCCGGUGGUGCCUAGGUGUCUGAGAAGAGAUGGCACGUCCCACUCAUGGGCAGUUUCCUAUACUCCAGACUCACGGAGUGACUCUGGUGUCAUAUAAAGGGCCCAGAGUGACGCGAUGCUGAGGGGAUGGCCAAGCUGAUUCGGCACAAGCAGGCGACCCGUAGGAGAUAAAUUUCAGCAAAAUCGCCCCAACCAAUCGGCCCCUCCGCCCCUCUGGCUGUUUCAGAGGGCUGGAGCAUAGGAAUGUGUCCCCAAGGCAGUGACAAGGGGUGGCUUUGGUAACACGGAAGGAUCGGAGAGGACAGAGGUGAUGUAGCUCAGUUCUACCCUGGCACCCAUUCUCUGUGUUCUUGGCUGCUCGCUCACCCUGGGAUGCUCUUGGCUCUCCCAGGCAUUGAUAUUGAGUACAGUGUUCAGCACCAGGCAGAUUGCUUUCUGCAUCCCGUCAGCCACGACAAGUAGGAGACAUAUCGCUUUUCAUUACAUAGAUGAGAAAACGGAGGCUGAGAGCAAGCAGUCUUGUGGACACUAGCUAAAUUCAAGCCCAUUAGCCCAGGCCCCUGGCUGAGACAGUGGUAGCCUCCGUGAUUGGGAUGGGUCACCCUGAGAGUCCUGAACUGGAAUGGGAGCUCUGGUUCUCCCGAAGGAGAACGGCUGAGGGCUGGCCACCUCCUGCUACUCUGUAGAGCCCAGCUUAGGAACAAUGCGGCCUCUAUCUGGAGCAGUUCAGGCUGCCUGGACUCCAGGCCCGUCAGAACGGCUUGGCUAGCUAGGCAGUCGCAACAUGGCGCCAGGGCCACCCUGCCCAUCCACGGGGCUGGCUGUUGCCCGGGCUGAGGCUGGGCUGGUGCUCCAGGCAUCCUCAGGCUAGCUGCUGAGUGGUCAGGCACCGUGGCAGCCUUCCUCCUUCCCUGUUGUCCAGCCCCCGCCUUUUUUUUUUUUGGUGGUGGGUUUGGGGGCCCGGCCCACCCGCCUCUGCCACGUCUGCCAUCCUCCAGGCACCCAUGAGCAUCUUUCGAAAAUUCCCGGUGGGCGGGGCAGAGCUGUAGCGGCCGCCCCUGCCCCCCCCCUCCCUGGGAGCCAGUGCCAGAUGAGAGAGAGCAGGAGACAAAAGUAGCAUUUUCUUCGUCCUCCUAGGCUGGCAGCAGGGUUUUCCCCCAGCGCCACUUGCUCCUGGCAGCCCUAACCCCGGGUGCCAGAGCGGCCAAGGCCCAGGCCAGGACCUACGGACUGAUGGACGCCAGAACCCGGGAGGCCCACGGGCCUGUCCGACAGAGACUGGCACCUGGGUACAGCCUGCUGGCUGGCAGGAGCACUCUUACUCAGCCAGGGCAGGGGACAUCAUUUUCACUUGCUGGCUUUUGAGAAAGUGACCCUGCCCUCCGGUUCCUGAUCCUGGAUGCUCCCGAGGACCCCCCCAGGAAAGUCAACACCUGUCAUGUGUAUCAGAAGACACCCACCACCACGGCCUCACACACAGGCACUGGCCUCUUCUUGACAGCUUCCCCAGGUGACUCCUAGAACUCAACAACCAUGUCCAGCUCAGAUCAGAAGCAGUGCAUCCCAGAGUGAUACCAUAAUGAUGCCAUCCAGGUCCACAGUACAGCCGGCUGCCUUGGUCAUUGCCAUAUUGAUGGUACAUUCCAGCUUCCCAAGGUAGGACAACUGGGGCAUGCUCUGGGAGCUGGGAGCGGCUGAAAAGCUCUGAUACCCCUGUGAUGGGGGGAGGGGGAGGAUAGGAGGACCUUAAAAAAAAGUGAGGAAGUAGCUCCAAGUAAAGUAGGGAAGGGUGUGGGAUAAAACGCUUUUUGAAUCCUCUUGGGCAGCAUGGGGUUACUUGAUGGCCCUGCCUGGCUCUGUGCUCUCCACCAGGGUAGCCAGAAGCCAUGGAGACAGAGACUAAGUGUUCCCUUUAGGAAGCUAGCUGCAUGCUGACCCCAGGCUUCUACCCCACAGCUUCCAGGCAGACAAUUCUGUCAACCUAAAGUGAUACUUGUUCAGGCUAUGCCCUCCUUCCAGAGACCUAGCAGAGUGAUCCAAAUCUACCGGCUCAGACCAAUGCCUUCCCACGUGCCGGGCCAGGAUGGAACCUCCCGGGAUCCUGGAGUAGAAGCUUCCUAGAACAGGAAACAUCGCCCAAGGAAGGGCAAGGAGAACCAGGGGGAGCUGAUUUGGGGGGGGGGGUCUCCAUGAUGUUACAUCUGCAGUCAUUUCCCAGUCAUCUUCCUGUGACCCAGAUGAGUCUUGAUUGAGAAUAUCUACGGAUGAACUCAUACACUCGUGGUCAGAGCUGGUGACCUGUGUGUCUUAGCCCCAGGCUGAGUCCACAGGGCAGGGGAGGCCCUGCAUAAUAGCCUUUCCCCACUGUACACCAGACCAUCUGUGCUUUGCCCUAGGCAUAAGCCAGCAACUUCUUCAUGGCUCCCACUUUCGUCUGGAUCAGACAGCUAUCUCACUAGCUCUCCAGAGAAGGUAUAUGGCCAACUGACUCCCUCAGACCCUAUUUCUAGAUGGGGAGAGCUAGGCUCAGAUAUGGGCCUCCCUGGCCGGCUAGCUGAAGACCCUACAUCUUCCUUUUUCCCUUCUGAGUCUUGCUAUGGGCCAUAGAUCUAGGGGUAGGCAUGCCACCAGAGCAUCUCAGACCCUGAGUCUACCCAAAGCCCAGUACGGGUCGGAUUCAUCUUGGGAUUCAGAUGAGGUGUGUAUGGCUAGGAAGAUCUAGGUCCAAGGCCUUCAGAUGCUAGCUCCGGGUUUGACCCUGCGUAACUGGUACAUCUGGAAGGGGAUGUUCAAACCUGUGUGGCAUUCUCCCACACACCUGCCUGAGCGUUCUCCCACACACCUGCCUGGGCAUUCUCCCACACACCUGCCUGAGCGUUCUAGUCUGAAGCAGGGGGAGACUCAGCAAAGCCCGGGUCAUCUACACUCAGAUAUGAGCUUGUGAUGUCUAGGGGACUUUCGUAUUAAUCACUUCUCUAAACCUCUCACAAAGGUGUUACUUGUCUUGAUAAGUGAGACUUUUGUUCACCCCCUAACAUGCGGGUCCUAGCUAGAUCCAAGAUGGUGCUCAGUGGGCAGGGCUUGCCUCUGGGCACACCGACCCAUGCCCACCCAGUGAGCACACAUCUUUUUAACUUUAUGGGCCGUGUUCAUAAGGAGAUCCGCCUUCUGCCCAGCCGGAUGCCACCCCUCCCGUCGUUCCCAGACUCGCUGUUGGCACGGCCUGCUGAGCAGAGACACUGGCUGCUUUAUGGGAGAAACUUAAUCAGGGAGCCUAGGAGAGGGGGGCUACCAUGGGGGGGGUCUGGCUCUUGGUGGCCCCAAGCCAAGCCUGAGGUGACUUCAGGGUGACACUGUCUGCCUGCCUCUCUCCCUCCAGACAUCCGCCCAGCCCUGAAAGGGCCACCUGCCUGCCUAGGCCUUUGGCGCACCUGUCCUGGCCAGCCUGGCUCCUCCCCCAGGCACCCUGCCCAUGGGCAGACACUGCAGGACUGGGACAGGGCUGAGAGGUGGCAGCUGGCAGAUGGCAGGGCGUCUGCUGACUGCUCACUCCCUGGCGACCUCCUCAGGAGCGCCAUUCAUGUGUACUGCCCACCCCGCCACCCACUGGUCCUCCUCCAGCCUGCCCCACUGGGUCCCCUCGGUCUGUUUCAGGACCCCUUCCUUAUUAAUUACCCCUGAGAAAGGAGGCAUUUCUGUGGGUCCCAACCCCGAGGCCCAAGGCCAGUGGUUGAGGCCUAGCUGUUUCCCAGGUGGGCCUGGCACGUCUGAACACUCCCCAAACAUGGAACUAGGCCUUUCCCUUCUCUUUCACACAUGGCUUUAGAGAUGUCCAGAGACCCAGAAAGGGUGACCCUCCCUGAAGUCUUGUGGAACCAGCGUAAACCCCCCCCCAUACCUCCCAUAAGGCAGAGAGCUGCUGGAACUGAAGAGACUGUGGUAGCCAUGCCUGCCACCGGGUGUGUGAGAGGAAUGAGCCUAAGACGGGCACCUGUGGGUCAGCCUCCCCAGACACAGAGCCAGGCCCCCCAGAGAGCAGGAGCCUGUGGAAAGAAACAGGAAAAGCAGGUCAGCGGUUCCUGGCAGAGGGACAGACCAGGGCAAAAGCCAGGAGGUGGGGAGGGCCUGGGAGAUGGCCAAGGAGGGCAGAGGAGGCUUGCCCAGGGCACUUUGCUGCUUUGUGGGUUGGGGGCAGGGCCGAUGGGUGCAGCGGGAAGGCUCCGAGGAAGGGUGUCAGCGUGACAGAUAGCUCGGCUGUCUUGGGAGUCCGGGAGGGGGCUUUCCCACCCUUGUGUCCUCACCAGACCCUCAGUAGCCAAUGGGCUCAUCUUCCCAUCCUUGAGCUGUAGGGGGUGGGGUGGGUGGGGAGGGAGCUAGCAAGGCCUGCAACAAAGCACCCUGGCUUGAUGGACAGAAGUGGGCAGAUCAUUGCCUCUAUAUUCUGUACCACAGGCUCAGCUCCAGAGCCCUUCAGCCGGCCAGGCUGCUCCCUCACUACGCCAUGUCCCUGCUUGGCCUUCCGUCUUACUGCUGGCUCUGCCAUGAUGUUUUGGGCCCAAGGGAGGCAGGAUCAGUGACUUGACUCCUGGUGUAAGUCUGCGGGCCAGUGAGCUCAUUCUCAUGCUCUCUCACUCUGGGUCUCUGCUCUUGGGAGAGUUCAAGCCCCAUUUGCCCUAUGUCUGAAGGAAGUUGUUUCUCACGGAUGACUUCUGAGAGGAGAUUAACUCUCCUUCCAGAGUCCACUUAACUACCACAGACCGGUGUGCCUGCGGCACAAUACUCAGGGCAGUACCCACUGCGGCAAGUGUGAGCCUGGCCCCUCCAGGCCCUUCCUUCCCCCUCUCUCUCUGGGCUCCACAGCAUCCAAUCAUCAGCCAGGCAAGGCCACUGGCCACCCACAAAAACACACUUGGCCACCAUGGAUGAAGUUUGAACAUAGUCUCUGAACCGCAUGGCCAGCACGGGGCUGAGCUUAGAGGCCAUUCCAUCCAAGGCUUUUAUAUGCGAAGUAUCAUCAGGCAAAAGGCAGACUGGAUGGAAAUGUCAUUGUGCUAUAGGAUAGUAAGGUAUGGCCAGGAGAGGCCACCAGGGGCCGGGCUUUCUCCCCUCUAAAGCUGAUGAUCAUUGCUUUUGUUUCUAACCCCCAAGGUGGUCAGGAAGUGGGACCAGGCAGGAAGUUCUGCAUGCCAAUGGCUCCCCUGUGGUGAGUAGGCCCCCACUGUCCUUCCUCUGGAAAGUAGGGAGCCAUGGGAGACUUGAGAGUGAGGAAGGCUAGGGUCUGAACCACAUCCCUGUCAGCACUCCAGGACCUGCCCUCAGCUUGGAUGCCUUUGUGCUACCCUCCCCCCACUCCUGCCCUGAGUAUUGUGGUUCCCCCAGAGCACCACCCCAGAUGACUCAUCUAGCCAUGAUAGGAUGUGGUGACCUUUGACCUCCUAUCGGCCUACUUAGGCUGGACCUCGUCUAACAGAGAUGCAGUUCUAUUCAUUACUGGCUCCAAGUGGAAGAGACGUAGCCUCCCACCCUGAGGACACACUAUCUACAGACUCAUGCCUUUCAAGUCACCUAGCCUUGAGAGGCCUCUGAGGACCUCAGCAUGAGGUCCCUCUCUUUUCUCAGUACCCCAGCACCAUCACUCAGUCCCCCAGUGUGAUCCUGAUACUCUCCAGGCUACCUGGCAUUGAAGGAGGACCUGCCAGGAGGUCUUGUCGAGAGAAAGGACAGAUGAGGGAAACAGAGUCACAUCUGGUCCCAUGUUUGGCUAAGGUACGGGGGGACGGUGGCUCCACUGUCCUUGCUAGAACUAGGAUGUUGUCUCCUGGUAUUUCUCCCCCACAGCUCGGGCUCUGCAAGGUUUGUGUUGCACAGAAGCCCAGAUUCACCAAGUGCAGAACAGGCGCUUUGGGGCUGCUGUAGUGGCAUGCACCAGCCUCCUGCUGAUUGCUAAGUAGAGGAGCUGCUGAGAAUCCCCAGGGGGCAGCUAAAAGGACCCUACAGAAAUGCAGGAUGGUGCCCAAAGUCAGAGGGAGCAGCCGAGACCUCCCAGCCAGUUCUGCUCAUGGUACCUGUGUCCUGCCAGCUAAGGGCAGAACCCGAGGCAUUGAGAGGCCUGGGGUUGAUGUGUGUUCUCUCUCCUACUUCAAGGUCCUUCUGGGGGGCUCAGAUAGAGAUGGCCAACGUGGUCUCCAGCCAUUCCACCACAUCCGGGCAACUGGGGAGGUUAACCAUGGCCAGUCAGCUUACAGAGAGGCUAACCAGUGUGGGACACCCCUCAGCCUUCUCACCUGGUCCACUCGUCAUGGAUAGGAGCAUCAAAGAGGCCCUUCCUCUCUUCCCACUCUCUUCCCACACCUCUUCCUGCCUGUCUGGCUCUGCUUGGAUCAUCCUUGAGGUCAUUUGACCUGCCUGUUAGUGAAAGGGUCCAGGCUUGAGGCAGGGGAUGGUACCCCAGUGGCUCAGAUGCCCUGGGGCUUGGGAGAUUAGUGGUUCCUGUCACCACAGGCCUGCCCACUGAGGGCCAGGCCACACCAGUGCUCCAGGGCCUUGUUCCCAAGCUAUUCUGCCCCAUAGACUCCAGCUCUGGGUACAUGAUGUGGACUUAGGCCUAAUGGCUUCAUUUUGACCCACAGGCUUUGGACUUGUUCCUUGACCCUUGGCAGGGAGGAAGGGGGUGUGGCUAUAGAUGCUAGGGCUCAUGCAGAGAGCAAAAGCUGCCUGCGGGGCUUCCUAGGAUUGGGCACAAGGCUUCCCUCUGCAUGCUGGGCAAACCUGUCUGAGGCCCGAAAGAAGCAGGUCCUUCCUUUCUGAGAGCAGAGACUCCACCUUCUGAGUUUCAGAUUCUUCUGCAGUCCCUGCUUCACGGCUGUAGGGUUUGAUGUAUAGCCCAGGGCCUGCCGAGGAAGGCUGUGGGUGGAGGAGCCUCCAAGUGCGUCUUGACACCGGAGAGCUGAGAACCACAGAAGCAUCUUACAAGGCAGAAGAAUGUCUCCUGCACACUGCCGCUGCUCAGGGGAGAAGGCUGCACUAGGCCUUUCCCUACUCUAAGAUGUGUUGACAAUACACUUGCCCGAGCUUCCCCCAGCAAGAUAGUGGCUGUGAACAGCAUGCAUAGCCUGCCCCAGCGCGGGCAACAAACAGCAAGAUCCAUGCCAGGCCUUCUGUUCUCACCCGGGUGUUCCCCCCUGCCCCAGCAGUCUAAGGCUCUGGGAGCCCCAAGCUCAGAGCCAAGCACAGAGCCCCUGCUGGCCUCGGGAUGUGCUAGCAUCAGCGACAGCCUGGCCAUGAGUGUCCAGCCAGGGUCUGCACUUGUGCCCGGCUGGCCACCGUGGGGAGCUAGGCUGCCUCCCACAAGGACAGACUGUCUUGAGCCUCCCCCGGCAAGGUCAGCUCAGGCCACCCUGGGGGAGAGGCAGGGACUGAACCAGAACCCACAGGAGAGGAAGAGGGUGCAUGCCCAAGGCUGCGGCCUAGCAGGAGUCCUGGCGGCUCCACUGUGCUUGAGUUGAGUGGGCAGAGGCUGGGACUCAGCCAGGUGGACACCGGAAGCUCCCUGGACCUUGGUGCCCUUUAACCAACGACACCCUUCCCCCACUGUGGCCACUCCUGUUUAGUAACUGAUGAGCGCCCGGUGGUGCUUUCUCUCUCCUCCCCGUCUUCCAUUACUCUCUGUGGUUUUGUUUAAAUGCCCUGGCCCACUUUGAGAGAAUCCCAGCCCUCUAUUAAUACCCUCAGCACCAAGCUGGCUGUGUCAGGCCCUCACCGUGUCCCCAGCUCUCCUUCUUCCUCCAGGAGGGACCUCAAGAAGCCACGCCACCCAGCUCUGCGCUGAGCCUGACUGACGGCCUUUGGGGUGAGGUAGUAGGUUGUAUGGUUUUGGGCGCUGCCCCGCUCUGCGGUAACUAUACAAUCUACUGUCUUUCCUGAAGUGGCCGCAAUAUCUGCAGUGGAUACAACGGCGACCCUGGCUGGGGAGACUGAGGGAGGGACGGGGUGGUAGCUGCCAUGCAAAAAGAGCUUGACGGAGACUUCGGACAGUCCCUUGACCUCUCUGGGGCGAUGGGUUCAGACACCAGAGGCUUCCCCAAUCCAUCUGGUGGGCAUGGGCCUUUCUUGCUGAGCCACUGUCUCCGCUUCCCCCUCCCCCACCCCGCCCUGUGCUCUAUGGCUCUAGCGGCCUGUGGCCAGGGUGGGUGGGGAGCGUCUGGGCCUCCUCCAGAACAUGGACGCCGCAGGGUGAGGUAGUAGGUUGUGUGGUUUCAGGGCAGUGAUGUUGCCCCUCCGAAGAUAACUAUACAACCUACUGCCUUCCCUGAGGUGCCCAGGGACACAGCCACACGGAGGCCCCUGCUCAGCAAGCUACAUGGAGCCACAGAUUGGGUGGGGGCUGUGGUGUGGGAACUGGGUAUAAAUAAAGGAUGUUCUGUCAAGAACUUACAA